rnacentral:rRNA from 1 species
AGCAGCCGCGGUAAUUCCAGCUCCAAUAGCGUAUAUUAAAGUUGUUGCAGUUAGAAAGCUCGUAGUUGAAUUUCGGGGUCAGCAGGUCGGUCGUGCCACUGGUAUGCACUGGCCUUGCUGAUUCCUCCCUCUUGAUGAGCCGUAAUGCCAUUAAUUUGGUGUUGCGGGGAAUCAGGACUGUUACUUUGAAAAAAUUAGAGUGUUUAAAGCAGGCAAGCGCUUGAAUACAUUAGCAUGGAAUAAUGAAAUAGGACGUUCGAUCCUAUUUUGUUGGUUUCUAGGAUUGACGUAAUGAUUAAUAGGGAUAGUUGGGGGCAUUAGUAUUCAAUUGUCAGAGGUGAAAUUCUUGGAUUUAUUGAAGACUAACUACUGCGAAAGCAUUUGCCAAGGAUGUUUUCAUUAAUCAAGAACGAAAGUUAGGGGAUCGAAGACGAUCAGAUACCGUCGUAG